UCUAGAGAAAGAAGUCAGGAGACUUUGCACCUACUUACUGCAGAAGAAGAUUUUCAAGGCCUGGCUUACUACUGUCAGGGAGCUGAAGAUGGAUUCGCAAAGAAAGCUUAAGGUUGCCACAGAACACUGUGACAGGAAGAUUCUCAUGCUCACCCUGGAGAUGUGGAAGGCAUUUGUAAAACUUACCAAAGAAGAAAGAGUGAAGGAAGAACGCCGAGACCACCUCCGCCGGAAGGUCUCCGAAAUCCUUCCAGACUUCCAGAUGCUGGUGCCUCCGUGAUGGCUGCAUCCAGUAGCUACCCGCUUGCCCGCUGAGGGAAGUCUCUGGUGCCUGGACGUGUGCAGGCUAUCUCCACCCACACACCAGCUGAGCCUGGCCUACUUUCUGGAUGUGUCAUAGCCCUGGGAAGUAUCUUGG
rnacentral:lncRNA from 1 species